CCCGGAGUGCCGGCGGGUCAAGGCUCCCGGCAGAGCGGUUCGUAGAUCCAGCAAUCCGCUGGCGGCGUAAGGACGCCCCAGGAAUAUUACCGGCGUGCGGUGCCGUCAGUUAUCCAUUCCAGUCUGUCCCGGGGUCGGGUCGUUGCCCCCCUCCGGGCCAUUCAUCCCAGCGAUUGCUGAGGUU
ncrna:unclassified sequences RT-7 RNA